AGUGAACGCUGGCGGUAGGCCUAACACAUGCAAGUCGAACGGCAGCACAGGAGAGCUUGCUCUCUAGGUGGCGAGUGUCGGACGGGUGAGGAGUACAUCGGAAUCUGCCCAGUCGUGGGGGGGAACGUAGGGGAACUUACACUAAUACCGCAUACGACCUUCGGGUGAAAGAGGGGGAUCGCAAGACCUCUCGCGAGUGGAUGAGCCGAUGUCGGAUUAGCUAGUUAGCGGGGUAAUGGCCCACCAAGGCGACGAUCCGUAGCUGGUCUGAGAGGAUGAUCAGCCACACUGGAACUGAGACACGGUCCAGACUCCUACGGGAGGCAGCAGUGGGGAAUAUUGGACAAUGGGCGCAAGCCUGAUCCAGCCAUACCGCGUGGGUGAAGAAGGCCUUCGGGUUGUAAAGCCCUUUUGUUGGGAAAGAAAUCCUUCAGGCUAAUACCCUGGGAGGAUGACGGUACCCAAAGAAUAAGCACCGGCUAACUUCGUG
rnacentral:rRNA from 1 species